rnacentral:misc_RNA from 1 species
UCCCUGGCCACGAUGGAACUCCUGCUCGAGGCGCUCGCUCCRCUGCUCACUAAGACCGCRUCCUCACUCACCGCUCCCAGCCCCACUCCAUCAACCGAACCCUCCGCCAACACUGAACUCAAACCAGCCGCUCCUCAAUCUAAUGCCAUCGUUGCGAGUACUGCUCGCAUUCCUGCUACUCCUUCUCUGGUCGCUACUCCUCUAUCUCGUGACCCUAGCCUUAAGAUCCCUUUUCAGUUCGCUCUUGGCAGGGUCUCCUCCGCCGACGACAAAGGYAUCGACUACGUCUUCUCCAGCAUUCCCCAGUUCACAAAGCUCGUCGCUCCUUACCGRCGUGCCCGUCUCUGCUCUCUUGAGGCCGUGCUCGAGCCCCUCGCGCCCCUAAGYAAUGGCUACUCCAUCAUCCUCUGCUGGACUCAGGCUAACAACGUCGUUGUUGGCGCUGAYUCUCUUGCUGUCCCCGGCGCCCAGCUCUUCUCAGCGACCAAGUACGCCGUYCUCACCCAGUCCCAAGUUCUCCCAGCUCCUCUCCACGCCCUUAACCCAAUGGUCAAGGAUUCCGUUACCUAUACCGACUCUCCAAGAUUGCACAUCGCCCCCUUCAAACUGGACGACCCGGGAGCYGCCCUGCUCGUUCUCCGAGGCGUCCUUGAAGUCUCUUCUCCGGCUCUUGUUGCCAAUACUACAUGAUCACGGCUACAUCCCAAAAUCAUGCCGCACCUGCUUCAAUUAUUGGGGCCUCCCCCCCAUCCCAAACCUUAAUACCCUCACAUUCCCCGAUGCCACGGGAAAUGUCUAGGCCUUUGGGUCGCAAGACCGCCGGGCCUGGAGUUUCCAAGUUCUCYAAAAAAAAAAAAAA